rnacentral:lncRNA from 10 species
CUGACCAUCCCCGUCCGGGGCCGCCUCCAGGUGGAAACAGAUGAAAAUGAAUAUUCCAUCUUGACAUCAAAGGAGACAGAGAGGGCUGGCAUAGCGCUGGGCGGCCUGCUUGGGAGAGAACCCCACAGGCCAGCCCCGUCAGACCCAGGCCUCACACCCGGCUGGGUAGGGACCUUCGUCACCGUAAGGCAUGUGUGGACGUGGGUGUGAACGGGACAUCCAGGUGGGGAGAGAAUUCUCCUCAACCCCAGAAAAGACGAAAGAUCUCCUCAACGCCAAGGACAGCUGUGGCUCGCUGGGGCAGUGUCCAGCAGUCGGGGCCUUGACGUGAGGCUGCUUGGCAAGAGGACACAGCUGGGUAGCCCGAGAAGCACCUCCCGUCUCAGGAGCGGCCUGGGUCCAGACACAGCAUGGACGCAUUUGGUGGGGAGAGUGUCGGGCAGGGUGGGGAUAGGGGAGGUUGAUAGACUCCACAAGGUUGAAGCCUUAUCACCCACCAGGUACCCAAGGCUCAGGCGUUUUCUUUGCUUUUCUUUUCCAUGUUGAUGAGAAUUUUGCAGUCUCUCUACUGUCAUAGCACAGUAUGUUACAAUUUAGGUGGCUGAUUUUAUGGGCUUUUGACAGUUCUUUUAAAGUUUUCACACAUCCCUGUCCAUGACCUCCAUCCGGUAAGUGGGUUCUUGAGCAUAAGUUCAGUUUCUCAGGGGGCAGGGCUUUCUCAGGGGUGCCUGUGUGGUGGGAUAUUAGGGAAGCUUCCCACAAACCAGGCCGGAGUCUGAGAGGGCUGCCCCUGCCCUGCAGCUCACCAGCUCCUGCUCCAUGGGGCCCCAGCCCCUCUAUCCAUGCUCUCCCCGCAGCCUCAGAGUGACAUUCCUCCAUGCCCGCUGCUUUGUUUAUCCCCUCUUAGUACCUGCAGCUGCUUCUCCACACCCCUGCCCACCCCCUGGCAUCCUCACUCGCUCACCCAGACACACACCCCAGCACCUGGCACUUAGUAGGCCUGUCACAGACAGCACUCAGGCUGUUGAAGAUGUCUCCAGCCUUCUGCUCCAGCAGUAGCUCCCUGGUCCCAGGACCUCGGAGGGCCCCUUGGAAGCCAAGACCCAUGUGGAGAAGGGAGAGAGUGUUGAUUAGCCAGGCGACAUGCCCCUAGGUCCUCAGAGUGACAGAGUGAAGGGGUAUGAGGAAGGGUGGGAGUGAGCAGGGGUGCAAGAUCAGCCCUGCCUAUGGCUCCUGAGAACCAGCCCCUGCCCUAGAAGCUUCCAGACCAGCCUGGACAGUGAAUCCCAAGCAGGCCCUGGGCUGAGUUGCUGCUGCCUGGCAAAGCCUGGCUUUUCCUCUGAAGGGAGGGAAGGAAGGAGCCCCCCAGACCCAGGACAAAGACUCCCCCAGCAGCCCAUCACAGGGGGCCCUGCCCAAGCAGCGGGCAGCUCCCCAGCUUGGCUCCUGUCCCUGGUUCCUCCACCCCAGAACCUGGCCAGCUCCCCAAUUCAGGAGGCGGCUCGCCAUGAAUGAGCGCAGCUCAUUAGCGUGCCCGGCACAUUUACUUGUUAAACAACUGCCUGGCUGGCCGCACACCCCCAAGCCCCACUCUGUUUUUUCAAUUUCCUCUCCCAUGCCCCUCCCUCUCUUGGGUCUCCCUACCCCCUCCCUGCAGCCGGGCCACCUGCUCCCGCUGCACGGGUGGGGAGGAGGCAGGCCUGGCACAUUGCUUCUGCCAGGAAUACUCCACCAAGCCUGUCCCUGCUCACCUGCCACCAGCAGGGCAACCCCCUGGAAGGGAAAUUUGAGGUUGAGUCUCCCCAGCCCAGUGACGUGAGUCCCCUCUGAGUCCUCUCAGCCACAUGUGCUGGGAGUUGAGGGCCACUUCCCCCGUGUGACUCAAGAAGAGAGCGUUCUCUUUAUGGCUUCUGCACAGAGUCCUCUCUCCCACCGCCACCAGCCCCUUUUGGAGCACCAAGAAGCGGGAGAACCUGGGUGAGGCUGAGGAGCAUUGUGGGAUGGAUUUCCAAACUGCAAAAAGGAAAAGUGAGACAGAAUGCCUUCUAAGUAGACAUCUGAUAAACACCACUUACGGAGUAUCUGUGUACUACAUGUGCUGUACUGGAACUCAGCAAUUCAACAGGGGACAAGAAUGGCCCUGGCCCUCAGUGGGCUCACUGUCCGGUGGGGGCACAGAAACAGGAAGCAGGAAAGCAUAUUCAUUUGGGUGUCAGCGAAUGUGGAAUUGCAGAGAACCCAGAAUGAGGGCACAGAGUGGGGCUGGAAGGCUCCCUGGAAGAGGAGGCACUUGAACUAGGUCUUGAAGGAUAAAUAGGCAUUCUCUGGGCAACAAAACAGGAAAAAAGGCUCUCUCAGCAAAGAGAAGCACUUGAGGCAAGUCACACAGACUGGGGGCAGCAUUCUCAAUGGCUGAGCUGGGGCACGUCCAGCAAGGCUGGAUUGUGGCAGGGGGUUCAGGUGGGGAGCACAGAUGGAGGUUACAGAGGUAAUGAGGACACACCCCAGAGGCCCUGGUGCAGCCUUUCUCUGGCUUCACUGGGCUUUCAGCAUCACCUGGCCUGGCCCUGUCCUCAAACACAUGUCUAUAUAUGCAUGGGCUUGGAAAUGCACCACCUCUGGAACCAGUGUCUCUGGAACCUGGUGCUUCCAGGGAGGUGACUUGGGAGGUAGCAAGGAGAAAGUUGCAGCAGAUGUUUCUUUUCUACUGUUUGGGAGGUUUUUUGCUUGUUUUUUGAGAUAGAAUCAUGCUGUGUUGCCCAGGCUGGAG